rnacentral:rRNA from 1 species
CGCGUAGGCGGUUGGUACAGUCAGAUGUGAAAUUCCCGGGCUCAACCUGGGGGCUGCAUUUGAUACGUGCUGGCUUGAGUGAGGAAGAGGGUCGUGGAAUUCCCAGUGUAGAGGUGAAAUUCGUAGAUAUUGGGAAGAACACCGGUGGCGAAGGCGGCGACCUGGUCCUUUACUGACGCUGAGGCGCGAAAGCGUGGGGAGCAAACG